rnacentral:rRNA from 1 species
CUGCCCAGUGACCAACGUUAAACGGCCGCGGUAUCCUGACCGUGCAAAGGUAGCAUAAUCACUUGUUCCUUAAUUGAGGACUUGAAUGAAUGGCCACACGAGGGUUUAACUGUCUCUUACUUAUAAUCAGUGAAAUUGACCUCUUCGUGAGGAGGCGAAGAUACCUAAAUAAGACGAGAAGACCCUAUGGAGCUUAAAUUUCAUACCCAAGUCUCACACAUCACCCAAUUAAGGACCACAACAUCCCUGACACCUGGGUAGACAAUUUUGGUUGGGGUGACCUCGGAGUAUAAACCAACCUCCGAAUAUCUAGUACCUAGACCUAACCAGUCAAAGAAAUCUCACACAACAUGUAUUCUAUAACUUAUUGACCCAAAAAAUUUUGAUCAACGGAACAAGUUACCCUAGGGAUAACAGCGCAAUCCUGUUCUAGAGUCCAUAUCGACAACAGGGUUUACGACCUCGAUGUUGGAUCAGGACAUCCCAAUGGUGUAACCGCUAUUAAUGGUUCGUUUGUUCAACGAUUA